CCAAACCAAACAAUAGACGUCUAAAUCAUACUAACCAAAUACGCAACUUCGAAGCAAAUGGAGCGCACCAACAUCUUCUGCUAAGCUGAUAGCCUACUUAGAGGGAUCUCGACCUGUCUAUCAGGACCUGCGGGCAUGAAACGCAGUGUCCCUAGGCAAAAGGGACGUCAGUACGAAUAAUGUACCGAGUAUGUAAGGCACAUAAAUAGAUACAUACAAGACAUGGAAUAAAUAUAGAGUACUUGACUCAACCUGUAAGUCUGAAUAACUUCGUAAAUCAUAAAUUGCCUUUAGCGUCAUGCAUAUAGGUAUGAAUGUCAUGUCGUGCAUAGGUACAUGUUUCAUAACAUCAUAGCCUCUGAGGGCAUCCCAUCAUAUCAUAUAGGCCACUGUGGGCAAAAUCAUCAUCGUAUACCAGCUGAUCAGGUGGUGGUGCAUAUAUAACGCCAUAACCUUUCCCAUAUCCCAUAUACAUAUAUAUACAUACAUAUAUAUGCGUAUAUAACGCUGUUUGAAUACAUACAUAUAUAUGCGUAUAUAAGGCCGUUUGAAUACAUACCCGUAUAUGCGUAUAUAACGCCGUUUGAAUCAUAUUUCAGCCACUGUGGGCAACAUCAUCAUCAUAUACCAGCUGAUCAGGUAGUGAUGCGUAUAUAACGUCGUAACCUUUUCCCAUAUCCCAUAUACAUAUAUAUACAUACAUAUAUAUGCGUAUAUAAUGCCGUCUGAGUCAUGGGUCAAUGUACAUGUAUAAAUGCAUGAAAUGCAUAUGAGAUACAAUAACAAAAUCUCUCGAUACGUCAUAAGACCAUUAUACCUUUGAUUAAUAUCGCAACAUCAUUUUACGUAUUUUCUGAGGCCUAUGAACAGGCGAUGGAAUAAUAAUACAUAUGGAAAUUCAAGAACAUAGGCACUUCUAGUACUUUUAUGAAUAGAGUCAUAUAUGAAAUUUGUGCAUUUUCACGUUUCGUUCGUAUCGUAUGGAUCAUGCCAAAAUAAAGAAGGGAUAGCCUUAACAUACCUUAAGUGAUUCCCUUGAGAAAGAUUGCACCGUACUCCCUUAUAAUUGCAAAAUCUUAUGUUUCUUAUUAAAUCUGGGUUGAAUUGUUGAAGAUCAUUUCUUCUUAAAGUUUGAUAUAUGCACUUAUCUUUACAUUAGAGAGGCAUACGUGAAGUAUUAACAAGGAAGAUCAAACUGGACAACCAAGCGUACUCAUAACAGUAACAUUAGCCAAAUACCUACUAAGCGCUCUAUCAUUUUAUUUGGUAUUGUAAUGGGAAAAUGUUAUGUGUUCUUUCUAAGGUAUACUCAUGUUACUUCUAAUUGAAAGAACACUACAUCUGAAUCUCUUCAAGAUCUAAAAGGCCAAAUGAAUUAAAUGGUCACAAAUUUGUGUUUAAGUGGAUGUGGCCCACUUCAUGUGGUGGCUUAACCACAUGCCUUUAAUUUUCCACCUUUCAAUUUAAUGUAAGAGUCAUUUUAAUUUGAAAGUAGGGGCUGUCACCUCAUGCCUCCAAUCUUUAUGCAAUAUAAUUGCUUAAUUAAUUGAGAAAUAUUCCAUUAUCCAAUAAUUAACCAAUCAUCUAUAUAAUUAAGAAUUAUCUCAAAUUACUUAAAAUACUACUCACUUUUCACACACCUUAUACUUCUCACUAUCAUGGCCACGGGGUACCUUGUAUGGUACUAGUCCAUAAAUACUGGAUAUUUUAGCUCGGGCCGCAUUUUAUCCCAAAAACGUCAAACUUCAACGAAAUUUAUUUUCUUUGAUUUGCUUACCUGCUCACCUUCACGAAUUUACUCGUUACUUGUUUGAAAUAGCAUAAUCCUUAUAAUCCCAAAAUAAUCUUUUCCUUGGACUGAUGUCAAUUACCUUACGACAAAUUCAACGUAAAAUAUUGCAGGGUGCAACACUGUCGUAACUUAUUACUGCGAAGCGUAACAUCUCCGUAAUGUAAUACUACUGGGUAGAAAACUGUCGUAACAUAUUACUGCAGAGCAUAACAUUGUCGUAAUACAAUACUGCGAGACAUAAUAUUGACGUAAUAUUACGGGGUGUAACAUCAUUCCCCCCUUUGGAACAUUCGUCCUCGAAUGUUGACAGAUGCUCUUAUCAUUUUCGUAACUUAUAGCUUUUAUGAAUACAUUAAUACUCUUCUUGCCAUUCUAGCAGUUGUUCUGUGAAUAAAUCCAAAGUCUAGGGUAUUUCCCCCUUUACUCUUUUUGCUCAUAUCAUGAACUGUGGUCGAAAUCUUCCUAAUCUUGCAACGUUUGUUACCUCUUGUCAUGCAGCCUGUAUGACCCUGGCUUUAUAGGUGCACUUAUGUAAUUCAUCUUUCCUUUGUCCCUUUUAACUCUUAGUCAAUCUCUGAGCCUUACUUUGUAUAUAUAAGGCUUAAUAGGAUGCCUCUCGGGCCUUUAUAGGUAUACUGAAGUCCUUUACUCGAUACUUUGUAGAACUUGCGAAUAUGGCCAUAUCUUAUUUCAUAUAUUUGGCUACCCAUUCACAUGACUUUACUGCAUUUACCAUAAUUUUUGUUUCAACCUACCUUUACUGAGGUACGCUUACCAAGCUCCCAGUUACUUUUAUUGCCUAUCCUUUAGGUAUAAAUCUCAAUCCUUCAAUGCUCCUUCAUUACCGUUCGUCUUAAGAACGACGACCUAAUCUUAUCUCAUACUUUGUGACUUUUGUCCAUCCAUUAUUGAUUCAUCUCAAUUUUGAUCCAUAAUCCACCCCUCAUAACUUAACCUUUUAUGUAAUAUUGCUGCUAGGAUUCACGUUUUAUUGGGGGACAUCUGAAAUGAUUAGAUUGAUCCAUCUGGGGCGAUACCCUGCUUUCAUAACCGUAUCUCACGGUAUCCCAAUGUGAUUUACCUUGCGUGUAUAUUUUUAUUCUGUCGAAUUCAUGAGAUCCCUUUCUUUUAUUUGUCAGAUCAUUACUCAAUCGAAGGCCCAAACAUCAUUUUUGUCUAUAAUAAUUACACCCUCAUUCUAUUAACAGGGCAGCAUUCCAUCUCUUUUGAAUGUUACUAGCGUUAGACUCCUUUGAGUUCAUUCAGGCUAUACUAAACUUUCAAUGACUUAGAGAAACCAUUAUCUCUCUUCUUUUCAUGGACUUAAUCCUGAGGAAUUAUCCUUUCUCGUCGCCUUUUUACUUGUCUUUCCUCAUUCUUACUCAUGUUUUCUUAAAACUUUAUCACUCUACCAUACUUUAGCUUGCGACCUAUAGAUAUCCAUUUAUAAUACUCGCAACUUUCCUUCAACUUGCUUGCACAAUGGAUUUUCUUAUGUUAUUCUGGAAUGUCAACCGAUACAACACAUCGUCUCUAACUCUUCUUUAUUCUCUUAAUUGGGUCUCUCAAUACUUAAAAACCAUAGGUUGGAAGACAUGCUGCUGACGAUGCCGCUAUCCCGGUUAUUGGAUCUCUGUGCUUAUAGCUUUCUAUCCGAAGUAUGGACUAUUCACGAUCUUCUGCCUUUAGAUAUCUCGUACGUUGUUCACCUUUACUUUACUUACCUUAAAAUCUCGUAUUGUAUCUUUUAUCUCUUUUCUGACCUCCCUUCCACCUAGGUGUAAUUCACGUCCAUAACUUGAAGCUCUAUUAUAAUACUCGCACCUCUGGUAUAUACAUAAUCCGGUAGGAGCUUUGUACUGACUUCUUAUGAGGCUAGUAUUCUUCAGUUGGCUUCAUCAUAGAGCUAUUUUAAAAUAUGGCUACUGUACUAUCUUUCUUAUACUUCUGCUACUUAACAGUGAUCCUGAGGUCUAUAAUUCUCUUGGUCCCUUCUGUUUUGCUUAGUUAAUGUAACUCUUUAGUCUCCUCUUCUUUCUAAUGAGCCUCUAUGUAGGCUUAAGCUAUCUUCCGAUCCGUGGCUCAUGGUAUCAAUUAUUACCUUAAAUUUUCAUGGGCAUUAUGGAAUAUCCAUGAUACAAUCUUCUAACAAUUCAAUCCUUUGGCUAUGCCCUGGGCUCAAUUCUUUCUUUUAACUUAUACCGGAGUCUUAUAUGAUUGUGUGAUUGUCAACAAUUAUGCUGCCUGGAUAAUGUUCCAAUCUCUUGAGUGUAUCUAUAACGUACUAACUCUUAAUCAUUGACCGAAUAAUUUUUCCAUUUCAUCUUAGUUUUCUUUCAAUGUGAGCUAUUACUUUUCCUGUCUUUCUGCCCCUUUGUUGCGUCCAUACUUAGAUUAUCUUAGUGCCCACACUUGCAAGAGUAUCCAUACAACUCAUAUGAUCUCAAAUAUUACUUUUAAUUCUUACUUCCCGUUCAUUAGCCACGUUAGGUGCCACUUUCCUUUGGAGUGCUUACAAUGUUGUUGUACGACUGUUGUUACACGACCAUUUCCUCUUUAGGUCGUUGUGCUUGGGUUGAAGCCUUCUUCCUUAUUUCCUCAGCUAGUCUUUUGUUGUAGUACUUAGGUAGAAACCUUGACUCUCAUAAAGUUGUGAGCUUAUUACGGAUCUUUUGAUGUCCUUCCUUGCCUAUGCUUAUCCGUAGUUACAUACCUCCAUGCCAUUGUGCUUGUAGGGUUGCUUCUGAACUGAUAUUUUGACUGUCUCCCUAGUGGUACUCUCUUUUAUUCCCAUAACAUUCAUAUGGUACCUUUAACUACCCUGACUCCUCUCUGAAUAUAUUUCAAGUAUUAUAAUAACAUUACUGCGAAGCUGAACUCACUAUAUUGGGUUUUACUACGUUUAUCUUGCACGAUCUUUUGAUUCGUCUGUAACCUCAUGUCUAGCCGUAACUAGGCCUUUCCUUAAUUAACUUCUAACUACUAGUUGGCCCAUUCUCAUAUAAAUAUUUCACAUAACAAUUCUUGGGUUAUUUCCUUUGUCUUAACUUACGUCUCGCGCUAGCUCCUUAUUUAUUCAUAACAUUCUAGCAGGAACGCCUCACUUCUUCUCCUUAACGUCGUGUUUGCAUAAUGUUUUGGGAUCGUAGCCUAUCUGUAGGCUUUGAAUAGUGUGAUCUCAUCCCUUUCCUAUUUUUAUUGCAUUCUUCCUUUGCAUUUCGUAGCUACUAGAACCACUUAAUUCUGACUUAACACCACAUCACUCCAUAUUCCCCCUUUAGGGGUGUACUAAAAGCUGAAGCCACGAGUAUCUACCUAUAGAUGUUUUACCUCUUUAUCAUUGGCGUCGUUUCUCAACAUCAAUGAUUCUUACUCGCCUUGCGACAAUCCUUCUGUACCAAGGAUGACAAAUUCCCUUACUCGUGAGAGUGACACAUAGCAUAACUGGCACAUACAGUCUCUUAAGCUUAAUUUUGCUCACAUUGUUUGCUCUAGGGAAGCAUCUCCCUGAAUGAAUAUUCUUUGAAUUCAUCGUGAAUCUUCUUCUGUGGUCCCUUCUAUUACCGCUGGAAUGAAAUCUGAAAUUCCCAUGAUGCCGAGUACUUUUUAAUCAUGCAGUCCCAAAUUCAUAUUUGGUUUAUCUUAUUUACCAAUCCAUACUGAUUUCUGCUACUCUGGGGAUUAACUCUCCCCUCUGGUAGUUGUGGUGGAGUCACGAACUUAUUUCUCAAAACGAGGAUAUAACCUUAUGGCCUAUAUUCUUUCGUUGCCUUAAGGUCCAUCACCUUUUGUCUCUUCCUUCAUUUGACUAUAGGUUCUGUAAUACUCUAGCAUUUUUAUCCAUGUAUCAGACCUUAUUCAUAAUGCUUCUUUAUCUCUCUUCCCAUUAUUCUGCUAAUAUUCUGCAUAUCCCUUUUCUUGUGAAAACUUGAUUACGACAUUCUUUCGCUCUUAGCUUUCCAUUGUUCUAUUUAGUGGCUCUUCGAGAUGCUAAACGUUCUCACUUUACUAGAGACGCGAGACACAUUAGGGUAAUAUGUAUCUCUUGAAGGCUUAUAGUUCAUGUCUUUGUAGCACUCAUAUUUGGCUGCACUUUUUCAGAGUGCACCAUCUGGUGUCUCAUAAGGAGAUCUAUUAGCAUAUUUGCAAUAUCCUUCGGAAAUGUCAACUGACGCAAAUAAUUCAUCCAUCAUAUCUUCUUAUACUACUUUUGUUAACACCUAUAGGGCAUAUCUGGAAGGGGUGCGACCAAUUGUAUAUACCUUUGUUACUAUCGAAUAUAACUCAAAAAGCUUAUGUUCCUUUGCCUCAAUUAUAAAUGUUGUUAACCUUCAUCAACUGGGUACCUCAUAUCCUUUUUCACCUUGCUCCUUUUAUUUGCUGAAACUUGUACUUAUCUUCUCUAUCUCUCAUUGUCCUUCAUCAUAAAUAUGGAUAAGUAUUCUUGCCUUAAGGCUUCUUAUCAGGAAGCUUACACCUUUCAGUACACUCAUGAUCUGCUAAAAACCUCACAUUUACUUAUCGUAGGCAUCAUAGAAAAAUCCAAUUGCUCUGACUCAGCUCUUCCACAACUAUCUCUUUUUCCAACCAUUUUUCUGGAUGUAGGUAUCAUCUUAUUACGAAUAAAAUAGAAUUUCGAAACUUGAAUUCUUAUAAGUGAGCUAUACCACACGAUCUAGAGUAAGAAGAAAGAGUGGCAAUCUUAAAUGCCUUGUAGCCUCCUACUUAUAAGUGUGGUGCACGACACACCCAUAAACAAGACUCUACUAGACACGGCUUGUAGACAUCCCUAGGAAAGACCUGCUCUGAUACCACUUUUGUCACGACCCAAACCGAUGGGCCACGACGGGCACCCGGUACCUUACUCAAUCGAGUACCAACGUAACGUAUUUUUCUUAUUACAUUAUCAUAUACACAUGACAUAUGGCCCUAAUAGGCCAACAUGAUUAUUUAUAAACUCAAGACAUCAGCCGACAAGGCCGUACAAUCUUUCACGUACAAGACAUAUGUCUACAAGCCUCUAAGAGUACAUAAGUGUCACAAAGGUCGGGACAGAAUCUUGCCAAACCAAACAAUAGACGUCUAAAUCAUACUAACCAAAUACCAACUCCGAAGCAAAUGGAUCGCACUAACAUCUUCCGCUGAGCUGAUAGCCUACUUAGAGGGAUCUCGACCUGUCUAUCAGGACCUGCAGGCAUGAAACGCAACGUCCCCAGGCAAAAGGGACGUUAGUAUGAAUAAUGUACCGAGUAUGUAAGGCACAUAAAUAGAUACAUACAAGACAUGGAAGAAAUAUAGAGUACAUGACUCAACUUGUAAGUCUGAAUAACUUUGUAAAUCAUAAAUUACCUUUAGCGUCAUGCAUAUAGGUAUGAAUGUCAUGUCGUGCAUAGGUACAUGUUUCAUAACAUCAUAGCCUCUAAGGGCAUCCCAUCAUAUCAUAUAGGUCACUGUGGGCAAAAUCAUCAUCGUNNNNNNNNNNNNNNNNNNNNNCCGAUACGUCAUAAGACCAUUAUACCUUUGAUUAAUAUCGCAACAUCAUUUUACGUAUUUUCUGAGACCCAUGAACAGUCGAUGGAAUAAUAAUACAUAUGGAAAUUCAAGAACAUAGGCAUUUCUAGUACUUUUAUGAAUAGAGUCAUAUAUGAAAUUUGUGCAUUUGCACGUUUCGUUCGUAUCGUAUGGAUCAUGCCAAAAUAAAGAAGGGAUAGCCUUAACAUACCUUAAGUGAUUCCCUUGAGAAAGAUUGCACUGUACUCCCUUAUAAUUGCAAAAUCUUAUGUUUCUUAUUAAAUCUGGGUUGAAUUGUUGAAGAUCCUUUCUUCUUAAAGUUUGAUAUAUGCACUUCUCUUUACAUUAGAGAGGCAUACGUGAAGUAU
rnacentral:lncRNA from 1 species